rnacentral:rRNA from 1 species
GGGCGUAAAGCGCACGCAGGCGGUCUGUCAAGUCGGAUGUGAAAUCCCCGGGCUCAACCUGGGAACUGCAUUCGAAACUGGCAGGCUAGAGUCUUGUAGAGGGGGGUAGAAUUCCAGGUGUAGCGGUGAAAUGCGUAGAGAUCUGGAGGAAUACCGGUGGCGAAGGCGGCCCCCUGGACAAAGACUGACGCUCAGGUGCGAAAGCGUGGGGAGCAAACAGGAUUAGAUACCCUGGUAGUCCACGCCGUAAACGAUGUCGACUUGGAGGUUGUGCCCUUGAGGCGUGGCUUCCGGAGCUAACGCGUUAAGUCGACCGCCUGGGGAGUACGGCCGCAAGGUUAAAACUCAAAUGAAUUGACGGGGGCCCGCACAAGCGGUGGAGCAUGUGGUUUAAUUCGAUGCAACGCGAAGAACCUUACCUACUCUUGACAUCCAGAGAACUUAGCAGAGAUGCUUUGGUGCCUUCGGGAACUCUGAGACAGGUGCUGCAUGGCUGUCGUCAGCUCGUGUUGUGAAAUGUUGGGUUAAGUCCCGCAACGAGCGCAACCCUUAUCCUUUGUUGCCAGCGGUUAGGCCGGGAACUCAAAGGAGACUGCCAGUGAUAAACUGGAGGAAGGUGGGGGAUGACGUCAAGUCAUCAUGGCCCUUACGAGUAGGGCUACACACGUGCUACAAUGGCGCAUACAAAG